GCGCUUGGGGCAAUGACGCAGCUAGUGAGGUUAUAACCGAGGCGCGUCAAUUGCUGGUUGAAAACUAUUUCCAAACCCCCUCUUUGGCCAGGGUUCAGCUCUGUGCCAUCGAGAAUUUCUGGAAGGGCCCCCUCUAAUCCAGGAUACAAAUACCGAAGCUGUGCAAAUACUUGAUGUGGAGAUAUAAAGACGUCCUCCUUGAAAUCCAAGACAUGCAUACUGAUAUAGAUAUCUCCUCCAUGAAAUGAUGGAAGCAGCCUCCAGGUGGGAGUGGGGAAGCUGAAGUCGAUGGAUUCUCUACCUCCAGUUCAAAGAGUCCUUCUCAGUUCUUGUUUGUUCUUCUGUCAAUGGUCUGCUGAUGGUGAAAGGGGACGUCCAAAAAUAUCAUGAGGCACCUUUUACUGAAUUCAUGAAUAAUAUCCGUGGGUACCUGAGAGUCUGGAACACCCAAGCCACAUAAAGAAGUCUAGAUCCGAUUUUUGGAAGCGUUUAGCACCUGAAAGGACGGAAGAGAUAACAACCCAAAAGGACUUCUCGAUAGAGGUGGCGAAAAAGGACGUGAAUUUUUUUCACUUGCCAGAGAUUGGGCCUCAGGUAGGAACUUUUUGCUAAAUACAUUUCAUAAAGCCAACCCCAAAUGAUUUUUAAAGCCAACCUAAAUGUCUAAAGACAAGUCACAGCCAUGGACACUUUCUUACGACUUCAAUGAGCUUCUUAAAUAUAUUGUUUAACCAUGUUGGUAGAGAUGUCAGCAAUAACGCGGGCUCUUUUGUGAAGGAGCUUCAAGAUCAGAUCUUUGCACUGGGGACUCUCGGUCCAUCUUUUUGACAUAUUUUCUCCCUUCUCAUUUGUUUCAUACAGAUUAUGCUGUCCAUCAGGGG